UGGGGAAUCUUGCGCAAUGGGCGAAAGCCUGACGCAGCAACGCCGCGUGUGUGAUGAAGGUCUUCGGAUCGUAAAGCACUGUCGCGAGGGACGAAUAAGGGGCGGGCUAACACUCCGUUCCGAUGACGGUACCUCGAGAGGAAGCACCGGCUAACUCUGUGCCAGCAGCCGCGGUAAUACAGAGGGUGCAAGCGUUGUUCGGAAUUAUUGGGCGUAAAGCGCGUGUAGGCGGCUUUGUAAGUUGGGUGUGAAAGCCCUCGGCUUAACCGAGGAAGUGCGCCCAAAACUGCAUCGCUUGAGUACCGGAGAGGGUGGCGGAAUUCCCGGUGUAGAGGUGAAAUUCGUAGAUAUCGGGAGGAACACCAGCGGCGAAGGCGGCCACCUGGACGGAUACUGACGCUGAGACGCGAAAGCGUGGGGAGCAAACA
rnacentral:rRNA from 1 species